AUGCUAAUCUCAAAAAGCCGAUCGUAGUCCGGAUUGGAGUCUGCAACUCGACUCCAUGAAGUCGGAAUCGCUAGUAAUCGCGGAUCAGAAUGCCGCGGUGAAUACGUUCCCGGGCCUUGUACACACCGCCCGUCACACCAUGGGAGUUUGUUGCACCAGAAGUAGCUAGCCUAACUGCAAAGAGGG
rnacentral:rRNA from 1 species